rnacentral:misc_RNA from 1 species
GGACCCUGUUGUGUCAUUACGACUGGUCUGAAAUGCAUGAGUGUACCCUGCCUUUGCAGCGUCUUCAGUGUGAUAAGCAUCUUCACUGAUAUAAGUUCCUUUGGGACACGCAAGCAUGGUGGGCUCUAUGCUUCCAACCGUCUUUGGACAAGCUCUGACAAUUUGACCUCAAAUCGGGUGGGACUACCCGCUGAACUUAA